rnacentral:rRNA from 1 species
UACGGGGGAUGCAAGCGUUAUCCGGAAUCACUGGGCGUAAAGAGUCUGUAGGUGGCACAGUAAGUCUGCUGUUAAAUAUCAAAGCUCAACUUUGAAAAAGCCGUGGAAACUACUGAGCUAGAGUAUGGUAGAGGCAGAGGGAAUUCCCAGUGUAGCGGUGAAAUGCGUAGAUAUUGGGAAGAACACCAGUGGCGAAAGCGCUCUGCUGGACCAUUACUGACACUCAGAGACGAAAGCUAAGGGAGCGAAUGGG